GACAGAGGGUGCAAACGUUGCUCGGAAUUACUGGGCGUAAAGCGCGUGUAGGUGGACCAGCAAGUCAGGCGUGAAAUCCCUAGGCUCAACCUAGGAACUGCACCUGAAACUGCUGGUCUGGAGUGGUGGAGAGGAAAGCAGAAUUCCUGGUGUAGAGGUGAAAUUCGUAGAUAUCAGGAGGAACACCGGUGGCGAAGGCGGCUUUCUGGACACUUACUGACACUGAGACGCGAAAGCGUGGGGAGCGAACAGG
rnacentral:rRNA from 1 species